UUCCAGACUCCUACGGGAGGCAGCAGUGGGGAAUCUUCCGCAAUGGGCGAAAGCCUGACGGAGCAACGCCGCGUGAGUGAAGAAGGUCUUCGGAUCGUAAAGCUCUGUUGUCGGGGACGAAAGGGUAGACGAGGUAAUGCGUUUACUAAGACGGUACCCGACGAGGAAGCCACGGCUAACUACGUGCCAGCAGCCGCGGUAAUACGUAGGCGGCAAGCGUUGUCCGGAAUUAUUGGGCGUAAAGGGAGCGCAGGUGGGACGGUAAGUCCGUCUUAAAAGGCAGGGGCUCAGCCCCUGUAAGGGAUGGAAACUAUCGAUCUUGAGUGCCGGAGAGGAAAGCGGAAUUCCCAGUGUAGCGGUGAAAUGCGUAGAUAUUGGGAAGAACACCAGUGGCGAAGGCGGCUUUCUGGACGGCAACUGACACUGAGGCUCGAAAGCCAGGGGAGCGAACGGGAUUAGAUACCCCGGUAGUCCUGGCCGUAAACGAUGGAUACUAGGUGUAGGAGGUAUCGACCCCUCCUGUGCCGGAGUUAACGCAAUAAGUAUCCCGCCUGGGGAGUACGGCCGCAAGGCUGAAACUCAAAGGAAUUGACGGGGGCCCGCACAAG
rnacentral:rRNA from 1 species